UGGCACGAAGCCGGCGGGAAUCCAUUGCCAGUGGGAAUAGAAUGGAGGCAAUGAAAACUUCAAACUUCUUCGAUGCCGCAUCCCUGACUAGUGUAAGAGAGAGAGAGAGAGAGAGAGAGAGAGAGCAAGAGAGAAGAACAUUAAGGAAGCAAUGAGAGAAAAUCUUGCUCUGAUAUAUUUCCCUUAUCAGCUGGGAAUCCCGUUUACGUAGUAAUAGAUAUUCCUGUCUGACCAUCCAGUAAUUUGCUACUGUAGUAAUAGCCUUAGACGUUAAAUACUACUGCGGAUACUUGACUGAAGAUGGGCACACCCAUGAUUCGAUUCUGGGUCAGGUCGCUGAGGUGAGGUGUGGCUUAAGUGCUGAUCAUCUAGCACUAGAUAUACCCGAGAGUUAUUGAUAGCAAUGGGGUGCAUGAAAUUCGGAAUUUCAAUAGCCUUAAUGCUUCUCUUUUAUGUGACUACUUCGAUCAAGGUCAAGAAAAUAAUAAAAAGGCGUGGUACUACUACCUCAACCAAACGGUAUACCUGAGUUGGUCUUGUAUAUAGUCGAUUAAAACCAAGUACUGCCAACUAAGAGAAAUGAUUCUUGUGGAAAAAUUGAACAGUGCAGAAAGGUCAGAGGUUGAAAGAGGGAGGUCUGGGCCAUGAGCACCAGUGAGAGUGAACGGAUCGAUGCGGACGUCGCGACGCCGGCCGCCGCCACCAAAACACUCUCCUUCCCAAGGAUCAUAACGUCUACCGUUGUGCCUAAGGGAAAUUUACUCAGUCACAAAAUUCUACCAGAUGAAGAUCUCUUAUCUGAUUUAAUCGAUGGUUUUAUCGUCCAUGGGAAUUUUCAAAAGAAUCAAUAAUGCUCUCCAGAUCUUCAGUCGCUUUAUAGAGAUUCUGAAAAUAGAGGGCGCGACCUAAAAAACUGGAAAGCUUCGUCUGUCAUAAAAAACUUAUUUAUACCAGAAAGACAGCUCCAGCCCUUGCUAACCUAGCUUACUGCCUGGCGCUCACUACUUCUGGGUCUACACCUUUCUCUGGAGUAGUACUGUCAGCGUUUUGCCGCCACUCGAGCCUCGAGUACAGUUCAGAGUGCUGGAUGGGAUUUUCAGAUUGACGAGGAGUUGGAAACUAUCCAAUAGAUUUGUCCAUGUUACCCUGAUACGACACGCAGAGCUCUGGACACGAAAUCUCUUAAGGAAAAAAAAAAUUAUUAGAUGGAAAACAAUUAAUGCAGAUCAACAAUUAGGUAUAGUACUUAUAACUGUACUGAUAGCUGUUAUGGUUCAAUCGAUAGCCGCCAGAGAGCGCUAUUAGUCUAUAAACAAUAUCUACCAAGACAAUUUAUAGUUACACGAGAGAGAAAGAGAGAGAGAGGGGGGAAGAAACUGUCUGGAAAUGGAAAAUGUAGGACAGUUUGAUCGAUAAUGGUCUAGCUGGAAGGAAUGAGGUUGACAUUAGAGCAACCUUUUCCUGGAAGAAUGUCACCAGGAAAUACCAAGCCAGAGGAAGAAUAUCCAUUGACAAUUCCUGCUGGAAAUUGAUCAACAUGAAUAACUGAAUAAUUGAUCAACAUGAAUGUACGGCUCUGUUGAAUGUGCGAAGCCGUGAAAAUAGGGUGAGAGGAACAUUCCUACGUCAUCUCCUGGAAAUGUCUGGGUAAAGCACUAGCAUAGUAACGUCAUUCCGACGUUACUUCGCAGAAGGAAUACCGAGCAAAUUUAGCCUAGUGGAUCGGCAAUGGCUACCGCAGUAUACUGACCUCUGCCCUACGGUUCUGACUUCAGGGAUUCGUCGACUGGAAGUUGGCAACCUGACAGAGUGCGUGCGUGGAAGCGUAUUUCAGACAUGGACACUAUAUACACUGGCACAGCGGUGCAUCGUUGAUACUAGAUGGAUGUACCAGGAUUUUAUAUUCUUGGGGUGGAUUUGAAUAACCAGCUCUACUAAGUAAUUUUGAAGGAAUUGUACAAAGAGGAGGAAUUUCAGAUGAAGUUAAUGGAACGUAGAAUCUCUAUGCUUUGUGACUUCCAGUUGUUUCUAUUAGCUUUACUUUUUACGAGCGACUUGGCGCUCAUUCAUUUGGAAUGGAGAUUCUGAUGCUGACGACGCUCAAAAUGUGAUCCAGGCUCGUAGAUCACUGGUAUAUCCUAGCACCAUACGCCAAAUAGAAACACGCCUGCAGACUAUCAUUGAUAGCAUAAUCGAAGUCACGUGGAUCAUGACACUCAAAGCAGAAUAAUGAAAUUACAAAAUUAAAUUGGUACUAAAGAAUUUCUUAGAUGAUUUCAAAAUAGGCGUAGAAAUGGAAUCUCUCAAGAAAAAAGAAGGAAAAUGAACACGUGUCUCUGCCAAAGGCCGUGUACAAAACAUACGUAUGCCCCAGCUCGUGGCCCAGUUUAAUCCAGAUAACUUACCCGACGCUAGCUGCACCUGUGCUUGCACUUCAAAAAUCGCAAGCUCUCCGUCAUCCCCAUGCGAAGCACCUGGACGGCGAGUACACAAACCCCAGAGAAAGGAUGCGCCGCGUUACGGUGCUUAUAAAGGCAAGGCAGCGCGGGAAUAUCGAUUUUAUUAAGCCCAAAGCAUCUACGAGAGCAAGACGAUACUGUUCGAGUGAAAGCUCGCAGGAUAACCUUGUCGAGGAUACGUCAAAACCGCACCAAAAGGAGUAAGCCUCAAAGUGACAGAACCGCAGUAAACCAGAAGGCACGAAGACCUCGUCUCCUGGGAGCUUGCAACCAACUGAUCGCCUCCUGGUGUUCACGCCAAUGAGACAAGCUACGUGAAAGCUUUCCUAUUGGCACAGCUUAACGGCUAACUGGCACUUUCACUAUGCUCUCCCAGUCGCUACGUGUACGACGGGUUGCUCCGUUACAGGCGCCACCUCCUGGUUAUCGCAAGACCCAUCAAUUCCUCCGGAAUUUCGCGGGACGCCGAUACCGGAUCGAUUUCGUAGCAAUAACCUGGAUACCGUAAAGCCUCGCGUUCACCUAGUAUGGGUAGACACUGUAACGUCUUCCUGGUAGUAAUUCUUCCCUUCGAGGGAACCUACGUACUGAUAUCGUCGUUCCACCUAGAACGGGCUGUGUCUGAUUGGUAGACGGACAUGCGCGGUUACGCUGCGUAGUCAUGGCGACGUGGGAACUUCUGCGGUAUAUAGGUUCAGCUGAGCUUUUAUUAUGUAUACAGGUACUCUGGACUAGUACUUUACUAUUUAGCGAUGAGAGUAAUCGUGGGCUGAUGUUAUAUAUAGAUGGUAUAUACAUUACUUUGUACUAAUUAGUAGUUUUGCGACAACUGAGUCUUUUUUCUCUUUUUCUUUCAAGCUUUCAGGUAGAGAGAAACUCGUGAACUGAUUGAUUUAAUUUAAUUGAUAAUAAAGUUUUUAUGUUCACGUUAAAGAGCUUUCUCCUUUUAGGCCGUCUAAGACCGAAGCACUUAGUUGAUUUUUGGUACUUAAAAUUUGAUGGUUAUUUUACUUGCCUGGUAUACUGUCAGUUCCAAAUUUGUUAGACACUUUUGAUAAUAAAUCUUGUUGCUACUUUCGUAGAGCUCUUCCACGUACUUCAUGUCAUUGUUACUUAUGGUGAAUUUUUCAUAGAGACCUUUAUUAGGUUUACCGUAAUGAGCAUAGGUCACGUGAUAUCCUAUGGGUCGUAGGUCAUCUAUAAUUUUUUGAAUUUCGUAUAUUAUAUCUUCAGAUUCAAAUGGCCUUAUUGUGUCUCGUAGAAUCUUAAUGAGUUUGCUCAGGAUUGACAUUCCUCUUCGCGUAGAUGAUGUUUUUCUAACUCUGCUCUGUCCAUUGCAUUUGCUUAUUUAGAUGGAUCACUAGGGUUUUAACUGAUGUGAGAAUUGUAAACGCAUAACGUGAUUUGGUUUGAUUAUAGUUUCGUAAACGAGUGUAUAUCUAUACGUCACGAUGACUUGA